UACAGAGGCCUCGAGCGUUAGGCGGAAUCACUGGGCUUAAAGCGUGUGUAGGCGGACUUCUAAGUACCUUGUGAAAUCCCACGGCUCACCCGUGGAACUGCUUGGUAUACUGGUUGUCUUGAGCCUUCUAGGGGCGAGUGGAACAAAUGGUGGAGCGGUGAAAUGCGUAGAUAUCAUUUGGAACGCCAAUGGUGAAAACAACUCGCUGGGGAAGUGCUGACGCUGAGACACGAAAGCCAGGGGAGCGAACGGGG
rnacentral:rRNA from 1 species